CCCAAAUUUCACCCUAUUCCCUAUAUAGGGUCAUACAAUGAUGCCGGUUGUGUGAAGGGCAUGUUCUUAUGCCUCUAAUUACUGACUCUGUACCUGAGAACCUGAUUUGAUAACAGCUGCAGGGCCCAUGAUGCCUGUGGAUAUGUGGACACCGUGAAGGAGCUCCUAGGCCAGGGGGCUGACCCCAACCUGAAAGACGACGCUGGAUGGACCCCACUGGGAUUCAUUGAGUUGGGGAAUACAACAAAAACAGCUGAAUAUCAUUCUACAGGACUGUUAUGGUUCAGUGAGAAACAUGACUGGCGACGGAGUCACUCAGAGCUGGUUUGAACCGACAUGUCAACGACCCCCCCCCCCCUCAAUUUGGCAUGUAAUAUACAGAAGGACACCAAAUUCACAACGAGCAACAAUGUGUUUGUAGGCGUAAUUAAAACGUUGAGGAAAGAGUGGCGCGACAAAACUGCCCAUCACGCAGCUAUAACUGAAGUUUGAACACGGCAUGCAGCUCAUCAAACAAUCCAAGGCUCUGGACACUGAAACAUCUGAGGGUUUGGUGAACAAAGUGUGGUUUGAUGUUCAACUUAAUUUUGGGCGAAGGGGAAGGAGAGAGAAGAUUUUCUUAAAACUGACUGAUUUAAAAUAUGUACAGACACAGUUUUUACAUGAAUGUAAUGUACGUUUGCCUGUGGUUAUGUUUCACAGCAGCCAGUCUGGCAACAACUUUUGUCCGGACGACUUUUUCUGCCGGAAUGUAUUUAUGAAUUUAUUUAUUAAAGCUAAAUGUU